AUGAUUUUUCGAUAUUUAUUUACCAUCUAACAUAUUACGUAAAUAUCAAUUCGUUAUUUUGUUAGUUGAAUAUAAAUUUUUCUUUAAUUUAAAGUAGUGCCUGUUGAAAUGUUCGCAAAGCUGGUCGUUCACUCAUAUUGUUCUUCGUGGAAAGUUCGCAAAUUAGAUGAGACACAACUUGAACUUGAGACUUCUUGUCUAUAUGCUGGGUGAAAUGUCACGGAUAAAUGUCUCGCUGUGAAAAUGUCAUGUACAGAUGCAUCUUAGUGUAUGCAGUUAAACAUUAUGCAACAACUAUCAACAUCGACGAAGCGAUAUUUCUUUCCUUUUUAUUGGAGCCAAACUAUUUCCUUCUUUAAGAACAGAAGAAGACGAGCUACAUCUUAAAUCGAGGGGAUUUAUUCGACGGUUCAGUGACGCAAAUUUAUGCGUCGACCAAUGCAACUGCUCGCAGAUCAGGAUAUAUUAUAUGCGUGGGGUGUUGCGUAAAUUAACAGGGAAAGUCUCGUGGGCCGUGAUAAUGUCAAAAAGCCGAGACGGUUCGAUUGAUUUUGGGUCAAUGUGGAACGAGAGAGAGAGAAAGAGAGAGAGGUUUUUGCACGCGACGCUUCUCGAAGCCGACGCUUCUCUGGCUGUUGACCGUGAAAAAAAAA